GUGCCCAUAGCUCAGCUGGAUAGAGCGUCAGUUUGCGGAAUUGAAGGUCAGAGGUUCGAACCCUCUUGGGCAUA
rnacentral:tRNA from 3 species